UUCUGGUCCCACGCACUUCGGCAUCUGCGGGCCCUGGUGCAGACAUGGCCAAGUCCAAGAACCACACCAUGCACAACCGGUCCCGAAAAUGGCAUAGAAACGACAUCAAGAAACCCCGAUCACAACGAUAUGAAUCUCUUAAGGGGGUAGGCCCCAAGUUCCUGAGGAACAUGAGCUUUGCCAAGAAGCACAACAAGAAGGGCCUGAAGAAGAUGCAGGCCAACAAUGCCAAGGCCAUGAGUGCACGUGCUGAGGCUGUCACGGCCCUCGUGAAGCCCAAAGAGGUUAAGCCCAAGAUGCCAACAGGCGGCAGCCGCAAGCUCAGUCGACUUGCCUACAUUGCUCACCCCAAGCUCGGGAAACGUGCUCGUGCUCGCAUCGCCAAGGGUCUCAGGUUCUGCCGGCCAAAGUCCCAGGCCAAGGCUCCAACCAAGGCCAAGCCACCUGCAGCUGCGGCUCCAGCUGCCAAGGGUGCCCAGGCCCCCACCAAAGCUACGGAGUAGAGACCUUCAUCUGCCGGUGUGAGGACAGAAGGACUGGUGUGACCCCCUGGGCUGCUGUCUGCGUGGGGCUGGUGUCCUCCUGUGCUAUUUGUACAGAUAAAUCUGGGACAGAAAAAAAAAAA